rnacentral:rRNA from 1 species
AUUGAACGCUGGCGGCAUGCCUUACACAUGCAAGUCGAACGGCAGCACGGGUGCUUGCACCUGGUGGCGAGCGGCGAACGGGUGAGUAAUACUUCGGAACGUACCUUAUCGUGGGGGAUAACGCAGCGAAAGCUGUGCUAAUACCGCAUACGCCCUGAGGGGGAAAGCGGGGGAUCGAAAGACCUCGCGCGAUUAGAGCGGCCGAUGCCUGAUUAGCUUGUUGGUGGGGUAAAAGCCCACCAAGGCGACGAUCAGUAGCUGGUCUGAGAGGACGAUCAGCCACACUGGGACUGAGACACGGCCCAGACUCCUACGGGAGGCAGCAGUGGGGAAUUUUGGACAAUGGGGGCAACCCUGAUCCAGCAAUGCCGCGUGAGUGAAGAAGGCCUUCGGGUUGUAAAGCUCUUUUGUCAGGGAAGAAACACCGGCUCUAACACAGUCCGGGAAUGACGGUACCUGAAGAAUAAGCACCGGCUAACUACGUGCCAGCAGCCGCAGUAA